ACUACAUGGACUUCGUAUGAACCGUGUUACUACUACUCAUCGCCAAGAAGGCAGUCAAGCAGUGUAUGCAGAGUACUUCCCAUCGUCAAGAAAGCUGUGCAGUUGUUUUGCUCCGGACAUCGGAUCACUUCUGGUUCCAGCUUGCAGCUGGGAAGACGGCACAGACAACUGACAUCAAGUACCAAGAGUGAAACUUCAAGAAAUGGUGAACGCUACGUCUUUAGUCAAAUCCAUAUUCACCAUGCCAACGGAGAAUACUUACAUCUUGUUCCGCAUCGAACUCCUGGUGGUAGUCUCCACGGUGCUAUUCCUUGGGAUGUCCAUACUGGACAUAUUUCGUAGCGGUUUCCACAGCAGCAUCAUCAAGGCCAUCUUGAGCAUUGUUGACAGUGUCUCUGACUCUAUAGUGUUGUACGUCAUGGGAGCCAUGCAAAUAGCGCCGUUCAAGAAUCAGUUGUUCCCAGUAUGGGCCAUAGUGCUGGUUGGUUUCCGUCACAGCAGCGACUUCAUCUCUGGGUAUGGCAUUCAAGACAAAGAUGGGCGACGUUUUAUUGAAUGGAAGAAUGUGGUGAAGCUUCUAGGAGUGGCUUUCUUGAACAAAACACGUGGUUCCAUGUUCGUUUAUCCUCUUUGGUCGCUCUGGUGUCUACAGAUACUGAGGAGCAAAUACAGGAUGGUAGCACGCCAAAUGGCAUUCAAGUCUGUCUGGCAUGGCAAGAGCUCCCAACUAGUUUCAGAGUACAUGCGGACUGAUACACAAUGUGAAAACUUCAAACUUGAGGACUGCAAAGCAGACACUAUGGAAGGAUACAGAUACUUGGUCUAUGGGGAAACAAGGCAGCACAUUGUAUUGAAGAAGCCUCGGUACGUCCUGCAUAUGGAUACUAACCCAGAAGAAACCCGGAUUCAGGCAAAAGCUAAAGCUAAGGCUGCUAGGGCUAAGGCACGACAUAAGACCCAAGCUGCUAAGGUUAACAGUACUAGCGCUCAGCCUCAAAGGGAAAAUGGUACAAGACCGGCCAAGCCCCUGAUCAAGCCUUCCCCGUACUCACUAAUCACACUUGACAAGAUAUGGCAAUGUGACGGUGCGCUGCUACAAACCGGCAGCACCCAGGGAGACAAGUUUAAGGAUUUGUCACUCGCCUUCUCCUUGUCCAGGCUGCUCCGGUGUAGGCUUGAAGAUAUGUCACUGCAUAAAGACAGUGUUCCCAUCACAAAAAAUCUAAUCAUGUUGAGAAUCAUACGGGAAGAAGCCAAGCGAGCAUUUAUGGUUAUGGAGCUGGAGAUGUCAUUCCUCAAUGACUACUUCAACACCCGCUACCCUAUGGUCUUCUGGACAGGGUUUCUUUCGCUCCACUUGAGUUUCAUUCUGUCUGCUGCAACCUUUGCCGUUGCCUGCUGGCUCUUUGUGGACAUCCUACGUGUCUACAAGACCCACAAGGAUGAAGUUUCUCAUGUGAUAAACGGUGUCAAUGUCGAUAUGGUCAUCACAUUGAUCUUCAUGCUGUUCACAGUGUUCAAGGAGGUCUGGGAGAUGGCCGCGUAUUAUCUGUCCGAUUGGGCAAGAUUACUGCUUGCGUCCACGUAUGUACGGUGGAACAGGAGUUAUGUGAGGAAUUACUUUACAGAGAAUUUUAUAGGUUCGUUUUUCACAUCUAAGAUUGCUGACAGUCGGUGGCAUGGGGUCCUUGACCAAUACGCUUUCUUGCAGUCAUAUGAUGACAGCCCAUCAGCCUGGAACUUCAUGCGAAAAUUUUGUACGGGGGCAAUUCCAAAGAAGGAUGAGGGGGCAAAACUCAGUGAACCAAUCGGUAUUCCAGAAUGUGUAAAGCCCGCAAUCCUGGUGACACUACGCUCCAUGGACCUGACACGUGCUCAUUUGCUCGAUGUCAUUCCAUCACUCUUGGCUGAAUCAAGAGAUCAGUACAGAUGGGCAUGCUUUGAGCUACCAACAUCCUCUCAUAUCAUCUUGGUGUGGCAUAUUGCGACCAGCCUCUGCGAGAUCAAGUUUGCACAGGAACGUUACAUUGACUUGACAAACCCAGGGUUCCCGCUAAAUGCGUUGUCAUACCUGACAAGUUUCUGCCACUGUUGCUGCUGCUCUCCUGGACCAUAUCUGGUGAAUGAAAAUAUGCUUGAUGGUGACCUAAAGACUAGAUAUACAGUUGCAAAUAGCUUGUCACGGUAUUGUGCAUAUCUUCUGAUUUCAAAGCCUGACUUGCUCCCAGACAGCUUUCUUGUGCCCAAGAUGAUAUUCCAAGAAACUGUGAAGGAUGCUCGUCGGAUUCUGAAAAACUCUGACUCGCUAGAGAAGAGGUACAAGACACUCGUUGACAAAGGUGACACACUUCCCCAGCACACCACCAAUUCAAAGGAGAACAUAAAUAUAGUGCAAAAGGGUGCAAAACUGGCCAAAGAACUCAUGCGUGAAGAUGAAGAAAGUCGUUGGGAGAUCCUGGCUGGGGUAUGGGCAGAUUUAUUGGUACACAUUGCCCCAAGUUGGAAUGCAACGGCACACAAGAACUGCCUUGAGUCAGGAGGGGAACUCAUAACCCACAUCUGGGCACUGCUAUGGCAUUGUGGAAUCGAGAAGAGCAUGUUGUGGCCAGUAGAAGGUGUGCCCAGGAACAAUGCCCCUGAAGCACAUCAAAAUAACAAUGCUGAAAAUAACAGCGCUAAGCCUGCAGAUCAGUGGCAAGCUGCAGGUGCAAUUGACAGGGAUGACAACCACGGAAAGGUAACUGCAGCCACUGUUGAUGGGGUGAGCUUUGUGAAUGGGGACAGCCAUUUGAUCAGAGGGAUGCAGAAUCUAGGGAACACAUGCUACUUCAAUGCGUUGCAGGGCCUCCUAGCACUCGGUGAGCUGCGGAUCAAAAUGCUAGAACAGAAUCCUCCUGAAGGGUCCCUUCUCUGGGAAUUCAAAAAGCUCCUUGAAGAGUCAACUGGGGGUGCCAAUGGUGCAGGAGGCACGCUGAUGAUAGAAAACCUAUUCUCAGUUAUGAGCUCAACGUACCCAGAUUUCAAAGUUGGUGUGACAGAAGACAGCAACCAUUUGCUCGGAUCCUUCCUAGAUGGUUUAAAUAUGGAGGAACCUACAAUGGUGAAGUCGCUUUUCCGUGGCGAGGUUGCUAAAUAUGUAUACAGCAAAGAAUGUGUGCAUACUUCAGUUACCCCCGAGGUCCUUGAUCUCAGUCUGGCAAUACCAUCGAAGGAGCAUGUAUCAGUAGAGGAUUGCUUGGAUUUAUAUGCCAGUGGGGAGGUCGAUGAUUGGUACUGUACGAAAUGUUCUGCUGCUGCUAGAAAUGCAUCUUCCAACCAAAAAGAUACUACAGUUGAUGAAGACCAUACUCAACAAUCAGACAGUGCAGCACACCAGAAUGAGCAAUCCAGCCAUCCAGAUCAGCAACAAACAAGCACACCAAAUCAGGACAGAGGAAAGCUACCGAUGCUGAAUGGUGACGUACAUCAAAUGGAACAAAGCCACGAUAAACAUAAAGAGGAAGAGAAGAAGUACAGAGCUGCAAAAGUGAACAUCCGCAUUAUGAAGGCACCAACUUUACUAACCAUUCAGCUCAAGAGAUUCGACUAUGUUAGACAUGGUAGGCCAGAAAAGUUGGAUGAACAUGUGAGCAUUCAGGAAAUGCUUAACAUAACAAAGUACAUGGACCCCAGAUGUGUAGCGAAUGAAGAUUACAUAUAUCGUCUUGUUGCUAUUAUUGUACAUGAGGGGCCAAAAUUGUCUGAAGGGCACAAUUAUUCUUAUGUAAGAGGAAAUAGCACUGGGCAGGAGCAUGGUCUCACAGACACAUGGUUUUCUGCAAAUGACGAGAAAGUCGAAAAAGUCUCUUUAGAAGAAGUACUCGAGUGUCAGGCCUACAUUCUUUUCUAUGAAAGGGUUGACCAGUCAAAGGUCAAGCCAAAUCUAUAAACACAUUAGCCAAUUAAUCAAUGGGGAGAGAUAAGAAAAGGGCAACUCCCGGUCAUAUUGUUAUCAUCAUCCCAUUCAGUAACCGGACCAGUAACUUAUCUAGAGCUCCAAUCCCAUGGUUUUUACUUUCAUUUCACAAUUUCAAAGGUUAUCUUCAAAGCCACACACUGGAUUCAUCUUUAGUCCUUUCUACUUCUUGCGCAUCGGCGGGAACUUUUGGAUAUUGGAUGCAACCGUCUAGAGAUGGUAUCUAUCUCGGAAUUAUCUUCAGCCAAGCUGGCUGGCGGUGUACUAGUCGCCUUUUAGAUGCAUAGAUGCGAUAUGUUAAACUUGUUCCGCUGACUCAUUUUUGUAUCCACGGUCUCUGAUCAGUGAAUUGUAAGACUUCUAUAACUUCGCACAAACAUAUGGUUGUGUGCGUCGCUUGAUGCAGAGGCCAGGGAUUUUCCCCUUUUGAAAAGAAAAAAGAGGCAUGAGUUGCACACCCAUUACUUUUUGCAAAACAAAAAGUUCGAUGUCAAUGUAUAUGUAUAGUGUGUGUACUAGUA